GGCCCCCGAGGGCAGGGCUGGUCUGCGGGUGUGCUGCGGCCCCCUCGUUUAUGGGGCACACCUUUGAUGCUCACUAAGCCCUUGUUCCGUGGGUGAAUGGAGGAAGGUUGUAAGACCGGCCCAAAAGCACGAAUCUUAACUUGAUGGGAAGGCUCAUCUCGCAAAGACCAGGAGGCACAGAGAUCGAUGCACAGCCUCCUGUAACGCGGAGGUGCUGGCCCUGUGACCGAGGCCAGCCCAUGGGAUGGAGCCGCCCUGGACUCUGACAUGGGAGCCGGUGAUGGGGAGAAUCUGGGCUGGCGGAGAAGAUGUUUUGUUGGGCAGUGGCAGCAGCAGCAGCAAGGACAUGGACUUUCCAGGGCCAGCACUGGCAGCGGCGUAAGCUGUGGCAUCCAGCAUCAAGUAGCUGUGGCAUGGUGGCCAUGUCAUUACCAACUGGUCCUGUAGCCCUGGCUUUACUCCAAAUGUUCCCUAUUUUGGCCCAGCUCCUAGGCUCGAUCUGCAGUGCUCCUGAUGGUUGUAUGAGCUGCCAAAUAUCAUUUCAAUAAAUUCUAUUUACAUCA